rnacentral:lncRNA from 1 species
AGAAUGUUCACUUGGCGACUGGAAUUUCUCCUUCAGUGACAUUAAGACAUCUGGAAAACCCCAAUGAUGAUACUAUUCUCCGCAUUCAUUCUUGCAAUGACAAGUGAGGUCCUAGCAGAAGAAGGUCGAGACCCAUACUACAUAGGAAAAAUGGAAAUUAUCAACAAUACUUGCCGAUACCGCGGAUAUGGCAUACCCAACAGUGUGUGCAUGGACUUAUCAAUUCCAUGCGUAAGUGUGUGCUGUAAGGCAACGAAAUCUCAGCUUGUACUGACCGGAUGUCCUGCUCCAAAAGGCUUUUCGUCUGACGGUUGGCAAUCAUUUUGGCCAGGGUGCUGCACUCAGCCAAGCCCAGAACCACCCGUGACCUUGCUUGAGCGUUCCUUGUCUACCGAAGCUGAGGGGCACACAUUCAUGUCUGCAUAUCAAUAUAGAAAAUUCCAGUAAAAGGCAAACAAGAAACAAUGUGGUAUCUGUACCAAACAUAUUGCUGAGAGACGCAUUAUAUAAAUAUAAAAAAAAGAAAAUAUUUAUAUCAAAAACAAAGAUGUGUUCGCAUUCUCCUUCUUAGACUUCAUAAAAUUGUGGAAGACACAGCCACAUCCGGGCUCAAAGCUGUUUCCCAUGCUACGACUGGAACUACGAAAAUUAGUGCAGUCACAUGCGUCGCAAUGCGAUUUUUAGAGGGCCAAUUUUACAUGAUUGCGAUUUCAACAAUGCGACUGGAGCGAGGCCCAGGGUUGCUUACUGCCAGGUUUCAUGGCACACGCUGCAUAAUUUUUUUAUUGUAAUGAAUAAAACGUUUACAUUAUAAUA